rfam:Rhodococcus sp. CTA-806 NODE_20_length_136942_cov_4.95116_ID_39, whole genome shotgun sequence.
CGUCGACACCCGUCACUCGGAUCGUCCGGCACGUUCCUGCCGGUGGAGGGAUCACACA